AAGACUGAAUAGGGGAGCUUUUUGCUGAGAGGAAGUUCGACUUCGACCCUUGACCUGAUGCGGAUAACGCCGCCGUAGGAAUUUCACGAUAUUUCUAU
rnacentral:ncRNA from 2 species